rnacentral:rRNA from 1 species
AUUGAACGCUGGCGGCAGGCUUAACACAUGCAAGUCGGGCGGAAACGAUGGUAGCUUGCUACUAGGCGUCGAGCGGCGAACGGGUGAGUAACGCGUAGGAAUCUACCUAGUAGAGGGGGAUAGCCCGGGGAAACUCGGAUUAAUACCGCAUACGCCCUACGGGGGAAAGCAGGGGAUUUUCGGACCUUGCGCUAUUAGAUGAGCCUGCGUCGGAUUAGCUAGUUGGUAGGGUAAAGGCCUACCAAGGCGACGAUCCGUAGCUGGUCUGAGAGGAUGAUCAGCCACACUGGAACUGAGACACGGUCCAGACUCCUACGGGAGGCAGCAGUGGGGAAUAUUGGACAAUGGGGGCAACCCUGAUCCAGCCAUGCCGCGUGUGUGAAGAAGGCCUUCGGUUGUAAAGCACUUCAGUAGGGAGGAAAGCCGUGAUCGCUAAUAUCGGUUAGGAGUUGACGUUACCUACAGAAGCAGCACCGGCUAACUUCGUGCCAGCAGUCCG